UUGCAGGAGUGGAUGAACCACAUCAUGUGUCUUUCAGCAGCUCUGACUUCCAUUGGGGUCCACGGUCUCCUCAUAGCACCCCUGCAAUCACCGGAGUGGGAGAGGAAAGGCAACCACAGCCACAUGGAGGACACUAGGACCCAGUGCCAGGGAGAAUGGGUCCUACGGAGCGGGAAGACAGACCCCGGGGAUUGGCUGGCUCGGAUCGGGCUGAAGGAGGAGGAGGGGUUGGCGCCGAGGGGAGAGGGGAACCUCCGCCGACCGGUAGAAAGAGAGAGCCACUUGCGGGAGGACCGGAUGCUGCACACCGCCGCGCUGACAUCGGCCGUGUGGAAGAGGGAAAGCAGCUGCUGGAGUCAGCGCUACCGCUGACGGAGAGGGAGUCACCAGCCAGCCGUGGAGGAGAGCCGCGGGCAGGGGAGAGCAAGCCGCCAGACAGUGCAGGAGAAGGGGAUAAGUGCUGCUGCAGCCGCGGCAGGAGCCGACUGCGAUCUGGGGAGCGCCGUGCACCUGAGCACCCAAGAGGAAGGGAGAACCACAUCUGGACCCCGAACAGAACCAGGCAACCACAGCCACAUGGAGGACACUAGGACCCAGUGCCAGGGAGAAUGGGUCCUACGGAGCGGGAAGACAGACCCCGGUGAUUGGAUUACUCGGAUCGGGCUGAAGGAGGAGGAGGGGUUGGCGCCGAGGGGAGAGAGGAUGGUCGGUGUGUGACACGCGGCUGACCUCCGCCAACCGGUAGCAAGAGAGAGCCACUUGCGGGAGGACCGGAUGCUGCACACCGCCGCGCUGACAGCGGCCGUGUGGAAGAGGGAAAGCAGCUGCUGGAGUCAGCGCUACCGAUGACAGAGAGAGAGCCGCCAGCCAGCCGUGGAGGAGAGCCGUGGGCAGGGAAGAGCAGCCGCUGGAGUCAGCGCUACCGCUGACGGAGAAGGAGCCGCCAGCCAGCCGUGGAGGACAGCCGCGGGCAGGGGAGACCAAGCCGCCAGACAGCGCAGGAGAAGGGGAUAAGUGCUGCUGCAGCCGCGGCAGGAGCCGACUGCGAUCUGGGGAGCACCGUGCGCCUGAGCACCCAAGAGGAAGGGAGAACCACAUCUGGACCCCGAACAGAACCAGGUACCUGCUCCCCAUGUUGAGCCCCCCCCCCUAUAUUAGUCAGGAUCUAGAGACAGCCCUGUCCACUCAUUCCCUGGAAAUCACACCAAGACCCGGAUAUGCGGCACCAACCAAUCCAUUGUGCAACCCUCCCCGUUACCACUGAUGCCUGGUCACUAAACAUUUAACCCCGUAUCAUCCCUAACCCCUAUAUUCCUUUGGAGUUACUACGAGCCUUACGUGGACUCACACCUGGACCUUCAGGACAUUAUAUAGCGUCAGAGACUCUGAUAGGAGUUCAUAGCGCCACCCGGUGGCCCAUUCAUUUAAUGUUGAAAUUCUCUUACAUUCGUAUCUCAAAUAUGACCUCUUGCAUUAGUUAUUUCUAAUAUGAUAACGUGUCCAUUGAUGUAAGAAAAGUGUUCAAGUUGAUGUUGAAAAGUGUUCAUUAAAUCACUAAUGUAAUAUGAGAUAAUGUGCCUUAGUGGAUUGUACUGAGUUUACCCACCUGCGAAUCCAAGUCACUUAACCAGGGUAG